rnacentral:rRNA from 1 species
AUUGAACGCUGGCGGCAGGCCUAACACAUGCAAGUCGAGCGAGCGGCGGACGGGUGAGUAAUGUAUGGGGACUGCCCGAUAGAGGGGGAUAACUACUGGAAACGGUGGCUAAUACCGCAUACUAUCGGAUAACCCAUAUGGGAUUAGCUAGUAGGUGGGGUAAAGGCUCACCUAGGCGACGAUCUCUAGCUGGUCUGAGAGGAUGAUCAGCAGCGAUUGGACUAGGACACGGCCCGGACGCCUACGGGGGCAGCGGUGGGGAAAAUUGCACAAUUGGCUCGAGCCUGAUGCAGGCAUGCCGCGGGUAGGAAAAAGGCCUUAGGGUUGUAAAAUACUUUCCGCGGGGAGGCGUUACCCGCAGAAGAAGCACCGGCUAACUCCGUGCCAGCAGCCGCGGUAAUAC